UCCGCCAUAAAAUCUUAUUAACAAUCUAAAAGUAUCACCGAUCUCCAUACUCCUCCAUGGCCAAAUCCUCGAGGGGUUACCCUCCAUUUUUACCAUUGAAAUCAAUCGGGUUCAAACACAAAUCACUGCUACUCAAAAAUCAAACACCCAACCCCAAUUAAUUUUGACUCCAAUUGAAUUAAACCCUUCAAACGAAUCUCGAAUUACCCAUUUUUAUGAAAAUUCUCUGAAUGUUUUUUAAACAAGGAGAUUGAAACUACAUUAAAGAGUUAGUUUGAUCAAGGUGGAAGAGUUUGUAAAUUGAUUGGAAACUACAUUGGAGAAAUUGCAACUGGGUAUAUCUAAACGCCUCCCUGUUAUGUGGUUUCUGGGAUAACAAAGGUUGACUAUUAAGUUAGGUAUUGUAUCUCCAACACAUUUGAAAUGAUAGAUCAAGAAAGGCUUUGGAUUUUGAAGUUCCCAAAUGGAGUUGUCAUUAUACAUUGUGGAGAAACUAGAAACUAUUGCUUUACAAAGAGGGGAGCUUGUAAAUAAGCUGGCAAAGUUGGAAAGGGAUGUCAAAGAAUGAGAAGGCGCAAGAAUUGACUCUGCAACAUUUUUAAAAACCGAAGUGUUGUUUAUUGAUUGGAUUUUGUUAUUCUGCCUUCCAACUAUUGUUGCUGGCCUUCUGGGUGUAAUGUGAAUGAGAGCUGGAUUUGCAUCUGGGUAAAGAAAGGUGGAAUGAUUUGUGCAAUUCCUACUGGAAUAU